rnacentral:rRNA from 1 species
UUGUGUUUAACUACCUAUAAAUAGUUGGUGCAAUAUCGACUCGAUCGAAUAAAGUUCUGGGUGGAUUAUGAUUAUGACAUUUUCUAUCUAUGUGUCUUGACCAAAUUACGUGCCAGCAGUCGCGGUAACACGUAAAAGACUAGUGUUAUUCAUCUUUAAUAGGUUUAAAGGGUACCUAGACGGCUAAUCAAGCCCCACUUAAAAGGGGUACUAAUGAGCUAGAGUUUCAUGUAAGAGGGCAUUAAAGUACUGAGAGCGUUGAGAGAUGAAAUUCUGUGAUACUAUAUACGGCACUGGUAAAGGCGAAAGCAUCCCAUUAUGUAAUAACUGACGUUGAGGGACGAAGGCUGUGUGUAGCAAAAAGGAUUAGAUACCCAAGUAGUCUCAGCAGAAAAUUAUGAAUGUCAUAGGAUAGACAAUAGGUUUAUACUAUAAAUGAAAGUGUAAACAUUCCACCUUAAGAGUAAUUUGGCAACAUUGGAACUGAAAUCAUUANACCGUUUCUGAAACAAGUAGUGAAGUAUGUUGUUUAAUUUGAUGAUCCGCAAAAGACCUUACCACAAUUUGAAUAUAAUAAAUAUUUAUACAAGCGCUGCACGGUUGUCUUCAGUUAAUGUCGUGAGAUUAUGGUUAGUUCCAUUAAAUUAACGUAAACCCUUACUCUAUUUU